GAUGAACGCUGGCGGCGUGCCUAAUACAUGCAAGUCGAGCGAACAGACGAGGAGCUUGCUCCUCUGACGUUAGGGGCGGACGGGUGAGUAACACGUGGAUAACCUACCUUUAAGACGGGGAUAGCUUCGGGAAACCGGAGCUAAUACCGGAUAAUAUAUUGAACCGCAUGGUUCAAUAGUGAAAGACGGUUUUGCUGUCACUUAUAGAUGGAUCCGCGCCGCAUUAGCUAGUUGGUAAGGUAACGGCUUACCAAGGCAACGAUGCGUAGCCGACCUGAGAGGGUGAUCGGCCACACUGGAACUGAGACACGGUCCAGACUCCUACGGGAGGCAGCAGUAGGGAAUCUUCCGCAAUGGGCGAAAGCUUGACGGAGCAACGCCGCGUGAGUGAUGAAGGUCUUCGGAUCGUAAAACUCUGUUAUUAGGGAAGAACAAAUGUGUAAGUAACUAUGCACGUCUUGACGGUACCUAAUCAGAAAGCCACGGCUAACUACGUG
rnacentral:rRNA from 1 species